UAAGGAAUAUUGGUCAAUGGACGCAAGUCUGAACCAGCCAUGCCGCGUGAAGGAUGAAGGUCCUCUGGAUUGUAAACUUCUUUUAUCUGGGACGAAAACGGGAUUUUUAUCUCAAUUGACGGUACCAGAGGAAUAAGCACCGGCUAACUCCGUGCCAGCAGCCGCGGUAAUACGGAGGGUGCGAGCGUUAUCCGGAUUUACUGGGUUUAAAGGGUGCGUAGGUGGGCUUAUAAGUCAGUGGUGAAAUCUCCGAGCUUAACUUGGAAACUGCCGUUGAUACUAUAGGUCUUGAAUUAUCUGGAGGUAAGCGGAAUAUGUCAAGUAGCGGUGAAAUGCUUAGAUAUGACAUAGAACACCAAUUGCGAAGGCAGCUUACUACAUAUAAAUUGACGCUGAGGCACGAAAG
rnacentral:rRNA from 1 species